rnacentral:rRNA from 1 species
ACCGAUAGCGAACAAGUACCGUGAGGGAAAGAUGAAAAGUACUUUGAAAAGAGAGUCAAACAGCGCGUGAAAUUGUUGAAAGGGAAACGAUUGAAGUCAGUCGUACCGACGGGAAAUCAACUAUCUUGAGUGCGAUUUUGUGGGUGGUGAUGAGCUUAACUGCCUUCAUAUUUGCAAAUUUGUAUUCUUGUGGUGUAUUUUUUCGUAUGGUGGGUCAACAUCAAUUUUGAACGUUAUAAAAUG